rnacentral:rRNA from 1 species
UACGUAGGGUGCAAGCGUUAAUCGGAAUUACUGGGCGUAAAGCGUGCGCAGGCGGUUUUGUAAGUCUGUCGUGAAAUCCCCCGGGCUCAACCUGGGAAUUGCGAUGGAGACUGCAAGGCUAGAAUCUGGCAGAGGGGGGGUAGAAUUCCACGUGUAGCAGUGAAAUGCGUAGAGAUGUGGAGGAACACCGAUGGCGAAGGCAGCCCCCCUGGGUCAAGAUUGACGCUCAUGCACGAA